rnacentral:rRNA from 1 species
GACGAACGCUGGCGGCGUGCUCAACACAUGCAAGUCGAACGGACAGGCCCUGCAUUUGUGGGGUGCUCGAGUGGCGAACGGGUGAGUAACACGUGAGUAACCUGCCCUUGACUUUGGGAUAACUUCAGGAAACUGGGGCUAAUACCGGAUAGGAGCUCCUGCUGCAUGGUGGGGGUUGGAAAGUUUCUUCGCUUGGGGAUGGACUCGCGGCUUCUCAGCUGGUUGGUGGGGUAGUGGCUUACCAAGGCUUUGACGGGUAGCCGACCUGAGAGUCUGACCAGAGACUAAGGGACUGAGAUACGGAGCAGAGACCUACGGGAAGCAGCAGUGGGGAAUAUUAUGAAGUGAGCGGAAGCCUGAUGCAGCAACGGCGCGUGCGGGAAGAGGGCCUUCGAGUUGUAAACCGCUGUGGGUGGUAAUGAAGCAUGAGAGACGGUAAUUGAUAAAGAAGCACCGGCUAACUACGUG